GCUGACAGUGCAGAUGUGUCUGCCCCAACAAGAGCUGCUUGUUGGAGAUUGUUCCUACUUUGCUUUGUGGGGCUGUCUGCCUUCUUAAAGAAUUGUGAAGUGUGAUGUGACGGCUUUCCUGAUCUGUCCUGUUAGAAAAAAGUGAAGAAAAGGGAAAGGAACAAUAUAAACAGGAGGGGAACAGCUGUUUAUGAGGGUGGAUAGUGAUAGGACAAGGGGGAAUGUUCUUAAAAUGAGACAGGGGAGGUUUAGGUUGGAGAUGAGGAGGAAGUUUUUCCCCCAGAGGGUGGUGACGCACUGAACAGGUUGCCCAAGGAGGCUGUGG
rnacentral:lncRNA from 1 species